GCCUGGGUGGCUUAGUGGUUGAGCAUCUGCCUUUGGCUCAGAUGGUGAUCCUGGGGUCCUGGGAUCGAGUCCCACAUCAGGCU
rfam:Canis lupus familiaris chromosome 4, whole genome shotgun sequence.